GACACACAGCCUGCAGUUCUGAUGUUCUCAGCCAAUCUAAAGAUUUUCCAUAGGACCAAAAAACAAAAUAAAAAUACUGUCGUACCAAUCAGUAUCUCAAGAGACACAUCGAAUCAACAAUCAACAUUUUCCUGGCACUAAAAGGGUUAAUAGGUACCCCCUUCAGCCACUAAUCUGAAUCCAGCACCAAUGUCCCUCGGUGCUGAGUCACGCUCCGCCCCAGUGGGGGAGACCUGAUGCGCAUGUGCAGCAAUGUCUGUGCGCGCAUUAGACCUCCCCAUAGGAAAGCAUUAUUCAAUGCUUUCCUAUGGGAAAAAUCUAACGCUGGAGUGCCGGAGACCAAAGGUCGGUUUGGUUUCCGGAUGUUUUACAUUGCAGCACUAAGUGCAAAAGGGUCACUGCACCCAUACUACAAUUGGUUGAAGUGGUCUGGGUGCCUACAGUGUCCCUUUAAGAUGCAGUGAUUCUGCUUACUCAAG